rfam:Anisakis simplex genome assembly, scaffold: ASIM_contig0000247
GAUCAGGUGGCCGAGUGGUUAAGGCGAUGGACUGCUAAUCCACUGGGGUUUCCCCGCGUGAGUUCGAAUCUCAUCCUGAUCG